GACGAACGCUGGCGGCGUGCUUAACACAUGCAAGUCGAGCGGUAAGGCCCUUUCGGGGGUACGACGAGCGGCGAACGGGUGAGUAACACGUGGGUGACCUGCCCUCAGCUCUGGGAUAAGCCUGGGAAACCGGGUCUAAUACUGGAUAUGACUCCAUGACGCAUGUUGUGGGGUGGAAAGCCUUGUGCGGCUGAGGAUGGGCCCGCGGCCUAUCAGCUUGUUGGUGGGGUGAGGCCUACCAAGGCGACGACGGGUAGCCGGCCUGAGAGGGCGACCGGCCACACUGGGACUGAGACACGGCCCAGACUCCUACGGGAGGCAGCAGUGGGGAAUCUUGCGCAAUGGGCGAAAGCCUGACGCAGCGACGCCGCGUGGGGAUGAAGGCCUCGGUCGUAAACCCUUUCGCAGGACGAAGGGAAACUAGACGGUACCUGGAGAAGAAGUCCCGGCUAACUACGUGCCAGCAGCCGCAGU
rnacentral:rRNA from 1 species